rnacentral:rRNA from 1 species
AACGAACGCUGGCGGCAUGCCUAACACAUGCAAGUCGAACGAACCCUUCGGGGUUAGUGGCGCACGGGUGCGUAACGCGUGGGAAUCUGCCCUUUGCUUCGGAAUAACAGUUAGAAAUGACUGCUAAUACCGGAUGAUGUCUUCGGACCAAAGAUUUAUCGGCAAGGGAUGAGCCCGCGUAGGAUUAGGUAGUUGGUGGGGUAAAGGCCUACCAAGCCGACGAUCCUUAGCUGGUCUGAGAGGAUGAUCGGCCACACUGGGACCGAGACACGGCCCAGACUCCUGCGGGAGGCAGCAGUGGGGAAUAUUGGACAAUGGGCGCAAGCCUGAUCCAGCAAUGCCGCGUGAGUGAUGAAGGCCUUCGGGUCGUAAAGCUCUUUUACCAGGGAUGAUAAUGACAGUACCUGGAGAAUAAGCUCCGGCUAACUCCGUGCCAGCCGCCGCCGUAAAAC